GUGUUGUUUGAAAGGAGAAAAUUAAGUGCUAAAAUGAUAUGGAUGACAUUGGUCCUUGUGGCCUGUGAAACAUAUGGAUAAGGCAUUGCCACCUACUUUCUGGCAUCUUUAUGGUUUAUUUU